UACGUAGGGCGCAAGCGUUGUCCGGAAUUAUUGGGCGUAAAGAGCUCGUAGGCGGCUUGUCACGUCUGCUGUGAAAUCCCACGGCUCAACCGUGGAACUGCUGGGCAUACUGGACAUCUUGAGGCACUCAAGGGCGAGCGGAACAAGGUGGUGGAGCGGUGAAAUGCGUAGAUAAUCACUUGGAACGCCAAUGGUGAAGACGAGCUCGCUGGGGG
rnacentral:rRNA from 1 species